rnacentral:rRNA from 1 species
AACGAACGCUGGCGGCAUGCCUAACACAUGCAAGUCGAACGAGACCUUCGGGUCUAGUGGCGCACGGGUGCGUAACGCGUGGGAACCUGCCCUUAGGUUCGGAAUAACUCCCCGUAAGGGGUGCUAAUACCGGAUAAUGUCUUCGGACCAAAGAUUUAUCGCCUUUGGAUGGGCUCGCGUUGGAUUAGCUGGUUGGUAGGGUAAAAGCCUACCAAGGCGACGAUCCAUAGCUGGUCUGAGAGGAUGAUCAGCCACACUGGGACUGAGACACGGCCCAGACUGCGACGGGAGGCAGCAGUGGGGAAUAUUGGACGAGGGGCGAAAGCCUGAUCCAGCAAUGCCGCGUGAGUGAUGAAGGCCUUAGGGUUGUAAAGCUCUUUUACCCGGGAUGAGAAUGACAGUAACGGGAGAAUAAGCACCGGCUAACUCCGUG